GGGUUGUGAGGUUAAGCGACUAAGCGUACACGGUGGAUGCCCUGGUAGUCAGAGGCGAUGAAGGACGUGCUAAUCUGCGAUAAGCGUCGGUAAGGUGAUAUGAACCGUUAUAACCGGCGAUUUCCGAAUGGGGAAACCCAGUGUGUUUCGACACACUAUCAUUAACUGAAUCCAUAGGUUAAUGAGGCGAACCGGGGGAACUGAAACAUCUAAGUACCCCGAGGAAAAGAAAUCAACCGAGAUUCCCCCAGUAGCGGCGAGCGAACGGGGAGCAGCCCAGAGCCUGAAUCAGUGUGUGUGUUAGUGGAAGCGUCUGGAAAGGCGUGCGAUACAGGGUGACAGCCCCGUACACAAAAAUGCACAUGCUGUGAGCUCGAUGAGUAGGGCGGGACACGUGGUAUCCUGUCUGAAUAUGGGGGGACCAUCCUCCAAGGCUAAAUACUCCUGACUGACCGAUAGUGAACCAGUACCGUGAGGGAAAGGCGAAAAGAACCCCGGCGAGGGGAGUGAAAAAGAACCUGAAACCGUGUACGUACAAGCAGUGGGAGCACGCUUAGGCGUGUGACUGCGUACCUUUUGUAUAAUGGGUCAGCGACUUAUAUUCUGUAGCAAGGUUAACCGAAUAGGGGAGCCGAAGGGAAACCGAGUCUUAACUGGGCGUUAAGUUGCAGGGUAUAGACCCGAAACCCGGUGAUCUAGCCAUGGGCAGGUUGAAGGUUGGGUAACACUAACUGGAGGACCGAACCGACUAAUGUUGAAAAAUUAGCGGAUGACUUGUGGCUGGGGGUGAAAGGCCAAUCAAACCGGGAGAUAGCUGGUUCUCCCCGAAAGCUAUUUAGGUAGCGCCUCGUGAAUUCAUCUCCGGGGGUAGAGCACUGUUUCGGCAAGGGGGUCAUCCCGACUUACCAACCCGAUGCAAACUGCGAAUACCGGAGAAUGUUAUCACGGGAGACACACGGCGGGUGCUAACGUCCGUCGUGAAGAGGGAAACAACCCAGACCGCCAGCUAAGGUCCCAAAGUCAUGGUUAAGUGGGAAACGAUGUGGGAAGGCCCAGACAGCCAGGAUGUUGGCUUAGAAGCAGCCAUCAUUUAAAGAAAGCGUAAUAGCUCACUGGUCGAGUCGGCCUGCGCGGAAGAUGUAACGGGGCUAAAC
rnacentral:rRNA from 1 species